AGCACUUUUUAACAAUGUGCUGACAGAUGUAAGUCCGACGUGCGACACCGCACUGCCUCAAAGAUGGCUUUGGGAUUAC
rnacentral:ncRNA from 1 species